CAGUCGCCACGGUAAUACGAAGGGUGCAAGCGUUAAUCGGAAUUACUGGGCGUAAAGCGUGCGCAGGCGGUUUGUUAAGACAGAUGUGAAAUCCCCGGGCUCAACCUGGGAACUGCAUUUGUGACUGGCAAGCUAGAGUGUGGCAGAGGGGGGUGGAAUUCCGCGUGUAGCAGUGAAAUGCGUAGAUAUGCGGAGGAACACCGAUGGCGAAGGCAGCCCCCUGGGCCAACACUGACGCUCAUGCACGAAAGCGUGGGGAGCAAACAGGAUUAGAUACCCGUGUAGUCCCUGUCUCUUAUAC
rnacentral:rRNA from 1 species